GUGUUAAAGAGGUUCCCAAAACUGAGCCCACCAGCAUCUAUGAAUAAUUAUUCAGGAAACUAUUAGAGGACACUGAUCACCCUUUAUACUUUGAAUUACAAUAAUAAAGCCUUGGAAUAAGAAUGAAUACUGAAUUGGAGAAAGUAAAGGACACUUGGAGUGAGAUAAGGAAACUCCUUGCCAUCAACAUUAAUUUUCUCAUCUGCUAAAUGAAGGGCUCCAAAACGAUUUGACCUCAAUUGCAGAGUUACUUACUGGGGUGAAGAAAAAAAAGCUAAAAUUCCUAUCUAAGGCACUUUCUAUCACCACAGCUGCAUUAGAACUAAUCAGUCAUUGUCUUCUAAGACCGCAUGCCCCUCCCCCAGAAGUCAAUGGUCUUCUACAUCAGAAUUCCAGGAUGCAUCAUUUAGAACAUUUGGCUGGAGCGGAGAAGGAAAGUUGCUGGCAUCGUGGCUAUUCUUUUGUGGUCUACAGGCAAUCCAAACAACAGUUGUGUGCUGUUAUAUUUCAAUUCUCAAAGACUGGUGGGAUCCCAUGUUAUGGUAUGCUUAAAAUAAAAACAGAGAGACCUCCUUUCUGAGGCUGUGGGUCGACAUGCAGUUUUGUGCCACUUCAUCAGAACUCGGUCUUUUGACCAGAGCGUUUAUUACAAAGUGCAGCAAAGCACAACACAACCGCAAGAGAAACAUUAGAACUCUCUCCCCCUUGGGAAUUAGUCUGAAGAGAUUUUCCUUCAGAAAUCACAUGUCUGCCUCGGUGCUCACUAUGCCCUGAACUCUUUUCCCUGCAUUCAUCUCCCAUGGGCUUCUGCAAAGAAAAAACCUUGGUAAGUUGGGAACCAGGCUAAUACACAUUUUAUGGCCUCUUUCAUUGAAUGUCCACCCUUCUUUGGAAUGCCAACUAUCUCAUCAAGUUAUCUUUGGGAGUGAGAGUUGGGUUGGCACAGAGGCACUCUUAGUCCUAAUGAAGUUGAGAUGUGGGACAGAAUAUGUAAACGAAGAUAUCCUUCGGCGACUGGGAAAAAAAAACUGAGCAAGUCUAAUAUUUUGAAAUUAGAAAAACUGAAAUAAGGGAAUUUAUUGUAUGUGGAGUUAACUCACCUAUGCACAGAAGGCUUCUGAACGUCUGUCACUGGCUUCCCAAACAGCUCCUGUCCCCCUCCUGUUGGUUUAGGUUCAGGACAGACUACUUUGCAUCUCUAUUCUUUUUCUGUGAUCCUGAGAAGGUUAAAGAUAGAAAAGGAUUUCAAUUUGCUUUUUUUAUUUUUAAUCUCUAUUUUCCCUUCUUAAAAAAAGAAACGUUGCACUUGGCUGGAACUUCUAUUCCAUAGUUGCCUGAGGCUGGGUUGGAGCUGCAAAGUUGCAAAAUAAAUCAGAACAAGCUGUGCUCUGGUGUUUCUAAAUUAUUAAACAUUUACAUUUGACUGGUCAAACAGCGUCUUUUUUCUAAAUGUAUACACCCUUGAUUGAGCGGCAGAGUUUGGUGUCGGUAAUUUGGAGGGUACCUCAUUCUAUCAGAAGACAUAGUUUAGGCCCAAGUCAGCUAAACUCUGCUGAUGGGAUAGAAAAUUUAAGUACAAGGGUGGACUUUUAAAAAAAACUUACACCCAUAGAGUACAUAAACACUCUAAACCAGCAAGGCAAAGAAAAUGAUGUGUUUAUGAUGCUAAUUACUGAACUUCCCCAGCUCAGGCCAAGAUAUAUUAAAAAGUUGCUUAGACUGGCAACGUACCUUGUUCCAUUGUUAGGCGUUAGCCUUA